CUGCAUGUGGAAAUGUCUCCUCCUCGUUUCUUUAGAACGAAUAUAUCCAUAACAUGCUUCAGUAACAGAAUUGUUAGGGCUGCCAUCUUAUAGUAGAAGUUGAGUAGUAGCAUAUAUCUCCCAAAGGU